CCUGGAGCAGCUGCCAGCUUUGCCUUGCACCUCCCAGCAUCCUCCCAUCCGCACAGACGGACAGCUUCCAGGCUGCUUGCUGCUAGGCUCACCAAUAGAGCUGCAAACCUGAGUGCUCGCAGGCACGUGGGAGAGCCUGCGCCGGAUGCAUCUGAGCCUCUUCAUGAUGUAAAGAAAGUGGGAGAGGCAAGGCAUAGCGACAGCUUCCCAGGAUGCUCUUAGGAAAAAUAUAACCUAUGCAGCCUGGGUUCAUAAAUCCUUUACUCUCGGGAUUUGUGCUCCUAAAUCUUCAAGCUUUCAUUAUUGAUAGAGACUUGGAACCUGCAACCCACAGAAGUCCCAAGAGUGCGGAUUUAUCCAUGGAAUUAUACCAAGAAUAAAUUAGACCAUGGACAUCAGAGGCACCACUCACAGGCAAAGAAGAAAAAGAAGGGAAAAAAAAAAGAAAGGAAAAAAGAAGGAUUGAGAUGGGACAAAAGACGGCGUAGCAGCAAGGAGCUUCUCCUGCAUCCACUUACUGAAGAAUGCGGAGUUCAAUCUUCAAAAUGGGAAAUCAACUUGUAUUUCUUACAGACUAGCAUUUUCUAUUGCAGAAAAACAAGUAAUAAAUGUUCUCCCAUGGUCUCCGAUUGCUGACCAUGUUUUAGAGCAAUUGAGAAUUUGUUAGGA
ensembl:lncRNA